CUCCAGACUGUGGAACCUCUCCUAUACCAAAUUGCCCUCCUGUCUCCAAUCCACAGGGAAAUGCCUCCUGUACUACAAUGAUGUCCUGGAGCCCCUGUACCUGUGUCCAAAUGGUGCCCACUGUCCCACCUGGUUUCAAGAUCCAGCCUGCUUCACUGGCACCAUGGACACCUUUCCUCCCCAUCACCCUGGUGAUGACUGUGCCAGUUACCACCAUCUGCUUCACUGCUUACCACCAAAUCAAGGCCUUCCUGUGUGGUCGAGCCCUGACCUCUGACCUCUAUGCACCCAUGGUGGCUGGCACACUGGCCUGCCUGGGACAGCCCCCUGGAGCUCAUGAGGACAAAGCUGCAGGCUCAGCACAUGUCAUACCAGGAGCCGGGUGACUGUGUUCGAACUGCAGUGGCUCAGGGUGGCUGGUGCUCUCUGCGGCUGGGCUGGGACCCCACUGCCCUUCAAGAUGUGCCCUUUUCAGCCCUGUACUGGUUCAACUAUGAGCUGGUGAAGAGCUGGCUGAAUGGGCUCAGGCCAAAGGACCAGACUUCUGUGGACAUGAGAUUUGUGGCUGGUGGCAUUUCAGGGAUGGUAGCUGCUGUGCUGACUCUACCCUUUGACUUGGUGAAGACCCAAAGCCAGGUCGCAUUGAGAGCGAUGGAGGCUCUGAGAGUGACAUCCCUGCAUGUGGACUCCACCUGGCUGCUGCUGCGGAGGAUCCGGGCGAGCUGGGCACCAGGGGAUGCUUUGCAGUCUUCCUUCCUCUGAUCAUCAAGGCUGCCACCUCUUGUGCCAUCAUGAUCAGCACCUACGAGUUCGGCUAAAGGUUUUUCCAGAGGCUCAGCCAGGACCGGCUUCUGGGCGGCUGAAAGGGGCAAGGAGGCAAGGACCCCGUUUCUCCACGGAUGGAGAGAGGGCAGGAGGAGACCGAGCCAAGCCUCUUUUCCUCAGCACUGAGG